UGAGAAUCGUGCUUCGGCGUGUCAGGAGAAAAGAAAUGGGCCGCUCCAAUUCUAGAUCACAUUCUUCAAGAUCCAAGUCUAGAUCACAGUCUAGUUCUAGAUCAAGAUCAAGAUCACAUUCUAGAAAGAAGAGAUACAGGUGAAUUAAUGUGUUUCUGGUGCUUUUAGUAGUGCCAUAGUUAUCAUUAGUGUCUGCUGUGAACAGAGUGUAUAGCGUAUUGUUCUCUCCAUCAGUCUACCAUUCUCAGUGAAGCUCCGUGAUUUGGAUUUGUUGUCUUCAUUUAGAAUUGAAAUUGAGAAUUGUCUUAAGUUAUCAACUGACUCACGGUCUGAGAUUGACUGUACUGUGUUAAAACAUGAUGAAUUUCUUUGUUUUCUCCAUCUUCAGUGAUAAACUGGAUAUUUUAAGAAUUUUUUUGGUACCGAAUCAUAUUGUUUUCCGGUUUUUACUGAGUCUGGUUCUUUCAAGGAUAAUCCCCUCCCCU
rnacentral:lncRNA from 1 species